rnacentral:sRNA from 1 species
CAUCGCCUUCAACCAGCACGGGCGUAGGAUAAUAUCCACGCCCGUGCGAUCAUGUUAAGGGCAAUGAAAAAAUG